AAGUCGUAACAAGGUUUCCGUAGGUGAACCUGCGGAAGGAUCAUUACUAUACAGGCUAUUUUAGCCUGGGCGUAAGCCAAACAACCUUGAUAACUAAUAACUAAAUUGUUAUAUUUGGCAAGUUCUGCUUGCCAGAAAUACAUAAACUCUUUUAAACCUAGCUAAACACUGUGUUUGUCUAACUAAAUUGUAAAUAAUUAAAACUUUCAACAACGGAUCUCUUGGUUCUG
rnacentral:misc_RNA from 1 species